rnacentral:tRNA from 1 species
GUUUAUGUAGCUUANAUUUAUCCAAAGCAAGGCACUGAAAAUGCCUAGAUGGGCUCACAAACCCCAUAGACA